ACGUGUAAACAUGUCAAAGAACAUGGGUCAUGUUUUUGAUGAUAGAUAUGCACACGAUUCCUGAACACGUCAGUUUUGGAAUGCUGCAAUCGGGUCGUGGAUAUAAAAGCAAGAAACACGUGAAUUGUGUUAUAGUUGGGGCACGCAACAUUUAAAAUAUUGGACAGUUUUUGGAAUAACUCUGCAUAGGAAGCAAUAUGACUGUGGGGAAGAUAGCUCUCACCGGAGCCGUUCUAUUGGUCAUGGUGCUGUUACUACUGUGGACACCACAGGCUGACGGAAAUUACAUCGGACACUGCUGGGAUAAUCAAAGCAAAUGCAACACACGAAGGAGCAACUGGCGAAUCAACAACGACUGGCGCUGGCUCACAUGUAACCAAAGCUGUCGAUGUUCCGGCUCCUACUCUGGAAGUUGCAGUAGGUCAUCAGGUCGCUGUCCGUCCAACAAGAUAUACCGAUGCAGGUGUUCAGGAAGGAGACGAAAUGGACCUAGACCCACGAAUUGUUGAUUUAAAAAGUGGAAUGUUGUCAUCUCAUCUGUAAUUGUCACUAAGAAUAAAAAAAACUCUUCUCA